AUACGGAGGAUGCAAGCGUUAUCCGGAUUUAUUGGGUUUAAAGGGUGCGUAGGCGGUUUGCUAAGCGGGAGGUGAAAUGCCGGCGCUCAACGUCGGAAGUGCCUCCCGAACUGGUGGACUGGAAUGACUCUGCCGUGGGAGGAAUGUGUAGUGUAGCGGUGAAAUGCUUAGAGAUUACACAGAACACCGAUUGCGAAGGCAUCUCACGAAGGGUUGAUUGACGCUGAGGCACGAAAGCGUGGGGAUCAAACAGGAUUAGAUACCCUGGUAGUCCACGCAGUAAACGAUGAUGACUAACCGUCGGCGAUACACAGUCGGUGGCCAAGCGAAAGCGAUAAGUCAUCCACCUGGGGAGUACGUUCGCAAGAAUGAAACUCAAAUGAAUUGGCGGGG
rnacentral:rRNA from 1 species